GUAGGAGGGGUUUUCCUCCUAGGUAAUGAGAGGAUAUGUGUGGUUCAGCAAUGGGGGUUGAUUUUGGAUCAGCUAUUGCUGGAGUUACAGAUCUUAUUGCACCUCAGUAAUCCAUGCUACUGUGACUUCUUGAUUGGAAUACUGAAAUGUGAUCCACAUGAGGCUAUACUUGAAGACUACUUGGAAGCUUUAUUUUCUGCUCACCUCUUUGGCAUUGACUUUGUCCUAAAUGUCUGUGGAGGAGAGGCAAUUGUCCUGAUAGUCUAUGAGACACCACACAGCAGCUGAUUUUAGCAGGCAUGCUCAUUACAUAGGCCCUGAUCCUGCAUCAUUCUUGUCAGUAGGAGCUUUUCCAUGGAUUUCAAUAAAUCUACUAUCAAGCUCGUAGUUUCUAGAUUCAAACAUCUGGCAACUGAUCCCCAUGGACUUUUAGUAGAGAGCCUUCAACUCUGGAAUUCGUUUCCCCUCCUUGCUCUGAGAGUGACUAAAUUUGUUAAUAUUCAUCUCUUUCCUGAGUCUCUGGCCUGGUGGAUUAAAGUGUGGCCUGUUCUUUUUCUUCUGGGGCAAAUAGAUGUGCAUUAGUGAGUAACGGACACGUGUGGAGAGAUGUUACUGUACUCAUUUUAGAAAUCUAAUAACUAUGUUAAGAACAGGAGUAUUAAGAGUUGUAUGGAAUUACAAUUAAAAAGGAAGGCUUGUGAAAUUCCAAACAGAAA